GGUGACUUAGUUACUUGAAAAUGGUUAAGUGUAUGGACCUUAAAGCGAAUUCUUUAUUUUGAAUGUGGUUUGGUUUUGAUACUUAGUCACAUAAAAAUGGUUAAGUGUAGCGACUUUAAAGGAGAUUUUUUAAUUCUAAAUGUGGUUUAGAUUUGAUACUUAGUCAGUUCAAAUUGGAUAAGUGUAGGAACUUCUAAGGGAAUUUUGUAUUUUGAAUGUGGCUUGGUUGGUGAUUUAGUUAGUUGAAAAUGGUUAAGUGUAGGGACUUUAAAGGGGAUUUUCAAUUUGAAUGUGGUUUGGUUUUGAUAUUUAGUCACUAAAAAAUGGUUAAGUGUAGAGACUUUAAAGAGAAUUUUUUAUUUUGAAAGUGGUUCAAUUUUGAUACCUAGUCACUUGAAAAUCGUUAAGUGUAGGGACUUUAUAGGAGAUUUUUUGUUUUGAAUGUGAUUUUGUUUUGAUACUUAGACACUUUAAAAUGGUUAAGUGUAGGAACUUUACAUGGGAUUUUGAGUUUUUAAUGUAGUUUGGUUUUGAUACUUAGUCCCUUAAAAAUCGUUAAAUUUAGAAACUUUAAAGGUGAUUUUUCUUUUAAAUGUUGUUUGGUUUUGAUACUUAGUAUUUUAAAAACGGUUAAGGGUAGCGAAUUUAAAGGAGAUUUUUCUUUUGACUGGUUUUAUUUUGAUACUUAAUUUCUUGAAAAAUGUAAAGUAUAGGGACUUUAAAGGGGAUCUUUUGUUUAAAAUGGUUUUGUUUUGAUACUCAGUCACUUUAAAAUGGUUAACUAUACGGACUUUAAAGGGGAUUUUGAGUUUUGAAUGCGGUUAGUUUGGCAACUUAGUCCCUUGAAAAUGGUUAAGUAUAGCGUUUUUAAAGUAGAUUUUUUUUGAAUGUCGUUUGGUUGGUUAUCUAGUCAUUUAAAAAUGGUUAAGUGUAGGGACAUUUUCGGAGAUUUUGUCUUUUAAAAUUGGUUUGGUCGGAGAUUUAGUUACUUGAAAAAAUGGUUAGGUGUAAGUACUUUAAAGGCGAUUUUUUCUUUUGAAGGUGGUUUGGUUUUGAUACUUAGGCACUUGAAAUUGGUUAAGUGUUGGAACUUUAAAGGAGAUUUUUUGUUUUGAAUGUGCUUUGGUUUUGAUACUUAGUCACUUAAAGAUGGUUAAGUGUAGGGAUUUAAAGAGAAUUUUAAGUUUUGAAUGUGGUUCGGUUGGUGACUUAGGUACCUGAAAAUAGUUAAGUGUAGGGACUUUAAAGGGGAUUUUUUUAUUUUGAAUGUGGUUGGAUUCGAUACUUAGUCACUUCAAAAUGGUUAAGUGUAUAGACUUUAUAGAUAAUUUUAUUUUUAUUUUGGUUUGGUUUUGAUUCAUUGUCACUUGAAAAUGGUUAAGUAUAGGGGCUUUAAAAGGGCUUUUUUGUUUUGACUGUGGUUUGGUUGGUGACUUAGUUACUUGAAAAUGGUUAAGCGUAGGGACCUAAAAGGGGAUUUUUUAUUUUGAAUGUGGUUUGGUUUUGAUAUUUAGUCACUUGAAAAUGGUUAAGUGUAGAGACUUUAAAGGAGAUUUUGUGUUUUGAAUAUGGUUUGGUUUUGAUACUUAGACACGUGAAAAUGGUUAAGUAUAGAGACUUUAAAUGGGAUUUUUUGUUUUGAAUAUGGUUUGCUUUUGAUACUUAGUCACUUGAAAAUGAUUAAGUAUAGAAACUUUAAAGGGGAUUCUAUGUUUUGAAUGUGUCUUGGUUGGUGACUUAGUUACUUGAAAAUGGUUAAAUGCAGGGAUUUUAAAGAGAAUUUUGGUUUUUAAUGUGGUUUUGUUUUGAUACUUAGUAACUUUUAAAUGGUUAAGUGUUGGGACAUUAAAGGGGAUUUUGAGUUUUUAUUGUGGUUUCGUUUUGAUACUUAUUCAGUUGAUAAUGGUUAAGUGUAUUAUCUUUGAAUGUGAUUUUUGUUUUAAAUGUGGUUUGGUUUUGAUACUUAGUCUUUUAAAAAUGGUUAAGCGUUGGGACAUUAAAGCAGAUUUUUUGUUUUGAUUGUGGUUUGGUUGGUGACUCAGUUACUUAAAAAUGGUUAAUUGUAGAGACUUUUAAGAGGAAUUUGAGUUUUGAAUGUUGUUUGGUUUAUUAAUUAGUUAUUUGAAAGUGGUUAAGUGUAGGAACUUUGAAGGGGAUUUAAUGUUUUGAGCAUUCUUUGGUUGGAGACUUAGUUACUCGAGUUGUGUAUGUUGUUAGAUUGGUGACUUAGUCACUUGAAAAUUGUUAAGUGUAAAGACUUUAAAGUGAAUCAUGUUUUAAAUGUGGUUUGGUUUUGAGACUUAGUCACUUAAAAAUGGUUAAGUGUAGUUACUUCAAAUGGAAUUAUGUGUUUUGAAUGUGUUUUGGCUUUUAUACUUAGUCACUUAAAAAUGGUUAAUUGUAGGGACCUUAAAAAGAGAUUUUUGAUUUUGAAUGUAGUUAUGUUUUGAUACUUAAUAAAAAAUGGUUAAGUGUAGAGACUUUAAAUGGAAAUUUUUGUUUUGAAUGUGGUUUGGUUGGUGACUAGGUCAUUUGAAAAUGGUUAAGUGUAGAGACUAGAAAGAUGAUUUUUUUCUUUUGAACGUGCUUUGAUUUUGAUACUUAGUAAUUUGAAAAUGGUUAUGUAUAGGGACUUUAAAGUGUAUUUUUUAUUUGAAUAAGGUUUGGUUGGUAACUUAGUCACCUGAAAAUGGUUAAGUGUAGGGACUUUAAAUGAGAUUUUUUUUUUGGAAUGUCGUUCUUUUUAUACUUAGUCACUUGUAAAUGGUUUAAUGUUGGGACUAUAAAGGGGCUUUAUUCUUUUGAAUAUGGUUUUAUUUGGAUACUUGGUCACUUGAAAAUGGUUUGGUAUAGGGACUUUAAAGGAGAUAUUUUUUAUUGAAUGUGGCCUUGUUGGUGACUUAGUUACAUAAAAAUGGUUAAAUGUAGGAACUUUAAAAAGGAUUUUUUUUCGAAUGUGGUUUUGUUUUUAAACUUAGUAAAUUUUAAAUGGUUAAGUGUAGGGACUUUAAAGGGAAUUUCGAGUUUUUAAUGUUGCUUGGUUUCGAUACUUAGUCAAUUGAAAAUGGUUAUUUGUAGUAACUUUUAAUGUGAUUUUUUUUUUUAAAUAUGGUUUGGUUUUGAUACUUAGUAACUUAAAAAUGGUUAAGUAUAGGGACGUUAAGGGGGAUUUUUUAUUUUGAAUGUGGUUUUGUUUUGAUACUUAGUCACUUGAAAAUGGCUAAGUGUAAAGACUUUAAAGGGGAUUUUUUGCUUUGAAUGUGGUUUUAUUUUGAUACCUACUCAUUUGAAAAUGGUUAAGUGUAGGGACUUUAAAUGAAAUUUUUUUGUUUUGAAUGAGAAUUGAUUGGUGACUUAGUCACCUGAAAAUGGUGAAAUGUAGGGAAUUAAAAGGAGAUUUUUUAUUUUGAAUGUGGUUUGGUUUUGAUACUUAGUCAUUUGAAAAUGGUUAAGUGUAGAGACUUUAAAGGAGAUUUUGAGUUUUGAAUAUAAUUUGGUUUUGAUACUUAAUCACUUGAAAAUGUUUAAGUAUAGAAACUUUACAGUGGAUUCUUUGUUUUGAAUGUGGCUUGGUUGGUGACUUAAAUGGCUAAAUGUAGGGACUUUAAAUAGGAUUUUUUUUUAAUGUGGUUUUGUUUUGAUACUUAGUCACUUUUAAAUGGUUAAGUGGUGGGACUUAAAUGAAAUUUUGUGUUUUGAAUAUGGUUUGGUUUUGAUACUUAGUCACUUGAAAAUGGUUAAGUGUAGGGACUUUAAAAGAGAUUUUUUGUUUUGAAUAUGGUUUGCUCUUUGUAAUUAGUCACUUGAAAAUGUUUAAGUAUAGAAACUUUAAAGGGGAUUCUUUGUUUUGAAUGUGGCUUGGUUGGUGACUUAGUUACUUGAAAAUGGUUAUAUGUAGGAACUUUAAAGAGUAUUUUUGUUUUUAAUGUGGUUUUGUUUUUAUACUUAGUCCCUUUUAAAUGGUUAAGUGUAGGGACUUUAAAGGAGAUUUUGUGUUUUCACUAUGGUUUGGUUUUGAUACUUAGUCACUUGAAAAUGGUUAAAUGGAGGGACUUUAUAAGAGAUUUUUUGUUUUGAAUAUGAUUUGAGUUUGAUAAUUAGUCACUUGAAAAUGUUUAAGUAUAGAAACUUUAAAGGGAGUUCUUUUUUUUGAAUGUGGCUUGGUUGGUGACUCAGUUACUUGAAAAUGGUUAAAUGCGGGGACUUUAAAGCAGAUUUUUGUUUUUAAUGUGCUUUUGUUUUGAUAUUUAGUCACUUUUAAAUAGUUAAGAGUAGGGACGUUAAAUUGGAUUUUGAGUUUUGAUUGUGGUUUGGGUUUGAUACUUAUUCAAUUGAAAAUGGUUAAGUGUAUUAUCUUUGAAUGUGAUUUUUGUUUUAAAUGUGGUUUGGUUUUGAGUAUUAGUGUUUUAAAAAUGGUUGAGCGUAGGGACGUUAAAGGAGAUUUUUUGUUUUUAUUGUGAUUUGGUCGGUGACUCAAUCACUUUAAAAUGGUUAAGGUUAGAGACUUUAAAGACUAAUUUGAGUUUUGAAUGUGUUUUGGUUUAUGAAUUAGUUAUUUGAAAAUAGUUAAGUUUAGGAACUUUGUAGGGUAUUUUUUGUUUUGAGCGUUCUUUGGUUGGAGAAUUAGUUACUUGAGUUAUGUAUUUUGUUAGAUUGGUGACUUAGUCACUUGAAAAUUGUUAAGUGUAAGGACUUUAAAGGGAAUCGUGUUUUGAACGUGGUUUGGUUUUGAGACCUAGUCACUUAAAAGUGGUUCAAUGUAGUUACUUUAAAUGGGAUUUUUCGUUUGGAAUGUAUUUUGGAUUUUAUACUGUCAUUUAAAAAUGUUUAAUUAUACGGACUGUAAAGGAGAUUUGGGUUUUGAAUGUGGUUCUGUUUUGUUACUUAGUCACUUAAAAAGGAUUAAGUGUAGGGACUUUAAAUGGAAUUUUUAGUUUUGUAUGUGGUUUGGUUGGUGACUAAGUCAUUUGAAAAUGGUUAAGUGUAGAGACUUGAAAGAUGAUUUUUUUCUUUCGAAUGUGGUUUGGUUUUGAUACUUAGUCAUUUGAAAAUGAUUAUAUUUUGGGACUUUAAAGGAUAUUUCUUAUUUGAAUAAGGUUUGGUUGGUAACUUAGUCACUUGAAAAUGAUUAAGUGUAGGCACUUUAAAUGGUAUUUUUUGUGUGGAAUGUGGUUUUUUUUAUACUUAAGUCACCUGAAAAUGUUUAAAUGUUGGGACUAUAAAGGGUCUUUUUUCUUUUGAAUAUGGUUUUAUUUGAUACUUAGUCAGUUGAAAAUAGUUUAGUAUAGGGACUUUAAAGGAGAUUUUUUUUAUUGAAUGUGGUUAUGUUGGUGACUUAGUUACAUAAAAAUUGUUAAAUGUAGGAACUUUAAAGAAGAUUUUUGUUUCGAAUGUGGUUUUGUUUUGAAACUUAGUAAAUUUUAAAUGGUUAAGUGUAGGGUCUUUAAAGGGAAUUUUGUGUUUUUCAUGUGGUUUGGUUUCGAUACUUAGUCAAUUAAAAAUGGUUAUUUUUAGUACUUUUUAAUGUGAUUUUUUGUUUUAAAUGUGGUUUGGUUUUGAUACUUAGUAACUUAAAAAUGGUUAAGUAUAGGGACGUUAAAGGUGAUUUUUUCUUUUGACUGUGGGUUUAUUUUGAUACUUAUUCACUUGAAAAUGGUAAAGUGUAGGGACUUUUAAGGGGAUUUUUUGUUUUGAAUAAGGUUUCGUUUAGAUACUUAGUCACUUGAAAAUGGUAAGGUAGAGGGACUUUAAAGGGGAUUUUUGGUUUUGAAUGUCGUUUGAUUGGUAACUUAGUUACCUAAAAAUUGUGAAGUGUAGGGACUUAAAAGAGGAUUUUAUAUUUUGUAUGUGGUUUGGUUUUGAUACUUAGUCACUUGAAAAUGGUUAAGUGUAGAGACUUUAAAGGAGAUUUUGUGUUCUGAAUAUGGUUUGGAUUUUAUACUUAGUCACUUGAAAAUAUUUAAGUAUAGAUACUUUACAGGGGAUUCUUUGUUUUGAAUGUGGCGUGGUUGGUGACUUAGUUACUUGGAAAUGGCUAAAUGUAGGGACUUUAAAUAGGAUUUUUGUUUUUUUUAAUGUGGUUUUGUUUUAAUACUUAGUCACUUUUAAAUGGUUAAGUGUAGGGACUUAAAGGAGAUUUUAUUUUUUGAAUAUGGUUUGGUUUUGAUACUUAGUCACUUGAAAAUGGUUAAAUGUAGGGACUUUAAAAGAUAUUUUUUGUUUUGAAUAUUUUUUGCUUUUGAUAAUUAGUCACUUGAAAAUGUUUAAGUAUAGAAACUUUACAGGGGAUUCUUUGUUUUGAAUGUGGCUUGGUUGGUGACUUAGUUUCUUGAAAAUGCUUAAAUGUAGGGACUUUAAAUAGGAUUUUUUUUUAAUGUGGUUUUGUUUUGAUACUUAGUCACUUUUAAAUGGUUAAGUGUUGAGACUUAAAGGAGAUUUUGUGUUUUGAAUAUGGUUUGGUUUUGAUACUUAGUCACUUGAAAAUGUUAAGUGUAGGAACUUUAAAAUAGAUUUUUUGUUUUGAAUAUGGUUUGCUUUUUGUAAUUAAUCACUUGAAAAUGUUUAAGUAUAGAGGCUUUAAAGGGGAUUGUUUGUUUUGAAUGUGGCUUGGUUGGUGACUUAGUUACUUGAAAAUGGUUAAAUGUAGAGACUUUAAAGAGGAUUUUUGUUUUUAAUAUGGUUUUGUUUUUAUACUUAGUCACUUUUAAAUGGUUAAGUGUAGGCACUUUAAAGGAGAUUUUGUGUUUUGAAUAUGGUCUGGUUUUGAU
rnacentral:lncRNA from 1 species